GGAGUCUGGGCCGUAUCUCAGUCCCAAUGCGUCCGGUCGCCCUCUCAGGCCGGACACCCGUCGUCGCCUUGGUGGGCUUUUGCUCCGCCAACAAGCUGAUGGGACGCGGGCCGCUCCCCCGGCGGGGCCGAAGCCCCUUUGAUGCAGGGCCUCCAAGCCCUGCAUGCCAUCCGGCAUUACCCCGUGUUUCCACGGGCUGUUCCCGUCCGGGGGGCGCGUCGCCCACGCGCUCCUCGCCAGUCCGCCGCUCUCAUGGGGAGCAAGCUCCCCAAUCCCGCUCGACUUGCAUGCUUAAGACGCGCCGCCAGCGUUCGUU
rnacentral:rRNA from 1 species